UACGUAGGGUGCGAGCGUUAAUCGGAAUUACUGGGCGUAAAGCGUGCGCAGGCGGCUUUGCAAGACAGAUGUGAAAUCCCCGGGCUUAACCUGGGAACUGCAUUUGUGACUGCAUGGCUGGAGUGCGGCAGAGGGGGAUGGAAUUCCGCGUGUAGCAGUGAAAUGCGUAGAUAUGCGGAGGAACACCGAUGGCGAAGGCAAUCCCUUGGGCCUGCACUGACGCUCAUGCACGAAAGCGUGGGGAGCAAACAGG
rnacentral:rRNA from 1 species